rnacentral:rRNA from 1 species
UACAGAGGUCCCAAGCGUUGUUCGGAUUCACUGGGCGUAAAGGGUGCGUAGGUGGUGAGGUAAGUCGGAUGUGAAAGCUCGGAGCUCAACUCCGAAAUGGCAUUGGAAACUACCUUGCUCGAGGGUUGGAGGGGGGACUGGAAUGCUUGGUGUAGCAGUGAAAUGCGUAGAUAUCAAGCGGAACACCAGUGGCGAAGGCGAGUUGCUGGGCUGACACUGACGCUGAGACGCGAAAGCGUGGGGAGCAAACAGG